GAUCAUGGCUCAGGAUGAACGCUAGCGACAGGCUUAACACAUGCAAGUCGAGGGGCAGCACAGGUAGCAAUACCGGGUGGCGACCGGCACACGGGUGAGUAACGCGUAUGCAACUUACCUAUCAGAGGGGGAUAACCCGGCGAAAGCCGGACUAAUACCGCAUGAAGCAGGGGCCCCGCAUGGGGAUAUUUGCUAAAGAUUCAUCGCUGAUAGAUAGGCAUGCGUUCCA
rnacentral:rRNA from 1 species